GCCCGCUUGGCACAGCGGUAAUGCGCCUCACUAGUAAGAUCUAAUCUCUACUGGGGAAAGCAAUGAGGAGAUGACUGGUUCGACUCCAGUAGUGGGCA
rnacentral:tRNA from 1 species